rnacentral:rRNA from 1 species
UGGAUCCAGACUUUGAUCAUGGCUCAGGACGAACGCUGGCGGCGCGCCUAACACAUGCAAGUCGAACGAGAGAUGAAGAGCUUGCUCUUCAAAUCGAGUGGCGAACGGGUGAGUAACGCGUGAGGAACCUGCCUCAAAGAGGGGGACAACAGUUGGAAACGACUGCCAAUACCGCAUAAGCCCACGGCUCGGCAUCGAGCAGAGGGAAAAGGAGCAAUCCGCUUUGAGAUGGCCUCGCGUCCGAUUAGCUAGUUGGUGAGGUAACGGCCCACCAAGGCGACGAUCGGUAGCCGGACUGAGAGGUUGAACGGCCACAUUGGGACUGAGACACGGCCCAGACUCCUACGGGAGGCAGCAGUGGGGAAUAUUGCACAAUGGGGGAAACCCUGAUGCAGCGACGCCGCGUGGAGGAAGAAGGUCUUCGGAUUGUAAACUCCUGUUGUUGAGGAAGAUAAUGACGGUACUCAACAAGGAAGUGACGGCUAACUACGUGCCAGCAGCCGCGGUAAAACGUAGGUCACAAGCGUUGUCCGGAAUUACUGGGUGUAAAGGGAGCGCAGGCGGGAGAACAAGUUGGAAGUGAAAUCCAUGGGCUCAACCCAUGAACUGCUUUCAAAACUGUUUUUCUUGAGUAGUGCAGAGGUAGGCGGAAUUCCCGGUGUAGCGGUGGAAUGCGUAGAUAUCGGGAGGAACACCAGUGGCGAAGGCGGCCUACUGGGCACCAACUGACGCUGAGGCUCGAAAGUGUGGGUAGCAAACAGGAUUAGAUACCCUGGUAGUCCACACCGUAAACGAUGAUUACUAGGUGUUGGAGGAUUGACCCCUUCAGUGCCGCAGUUAACACAAUAAGUAAUCCACCUGGGGAGUACGACCGCAAGGUUGCAACUCAAAUGAAUUGACGGA